CUAUUGCUGAUCUUCGGAUCGGUGAUGGCUAUCAAUGAGCAUGACCAGGUACUUUUAACCUGAAUACAUAGGGUUUUAAGAGCGAACCCGGGGAACUGAAACAUCUAAGUACCCGGAGGAAAGGAAAUCAAUAGAUACUCCGCUAGUAGUGGCGAGCGAACGCGGAUCAGCCGAACCAUAAUGAUGACUAGAAUGUGUUGGAAAGCACAGCCAUAGUGGGUGACAGCCCCGUAUAGGAAGUCUGAUUGGACAUAUUAAGUAGGGCGGGACACGUGAAAUCCUGUCUGAACAUCGGAGGACCACCUUCGAAGGCUAAGUACUCCUUACUGACCGAUAGCGAACCAGUACCGUGAGGGAAAGGUGAAAAGCACCCCGACGAGGGGAGUGAAACAGUUUCUGAAACCGGACGCCUACAAGCAGUCGGAGGAGCCUUGAGCUCUGACGGCGUACCUUUUGUAUAAUGGGUCAACGACUUGGUCUUACGAGCAAGCUUAAGCCGAUAGGUGUAGGCGCAGCGAAAGCGAGUCUUAAAAGGGCGAAUGAGUUCGUGGGAUCAGACCCGAAACCGAGUGAUCUAGCCAUGUGCAGGCUGAAGGUUGGGUAACACCAACUGGAGGGCCGAACCCACACCUGUUGAAAAAGGUCGGGAUGACGUGUGGCUAGGGGUGAAAGGCCAAUCAAACUCGGAGAUAGCUGGUUCUCCGCGAAAGCUAUUUAGGUAGCGCGUCGAUUGUAUUCUCCUGGGGGUAGAGCACUGGAUGGAUGAUGGGGGCCCACAGCCUUACUGAGUCUAACCAAACUCCGAAUACCAGGAAGAACUGAUCGGCAGACACACGGCGGGUGCUAACGUCCGUCGUGGAGAGGGAAACAACCCUGACCAACAGCUAAGGCCCCCAAUUCGUGGCUAAG
rfam:Thioclava sp. SK-1 scaffold84_cov7687_read209, whole genome shotgun sequence.